GAGAGUUCCCAUCCUUAUCACCUGGUUUUAAUCCCUUCUCAUCCAUUCUUGAAAUAUUUUGACAAUUUUUACUCUUUUCCAAGUUUUGAGAUCUACAAGUUGGCACUAAAUCAUUCUGAUUAGAUAAUAUGCAAGAACUUUUGUCCCUCUAGAGUUCCUAUAGGCUGUGAAUCCUAUUCUGUCCCAAAUCACCACUUUGUUUCCUUUCAGGAAUCUAGGAAAAUGUGAUGAUUUAUCUAAGAAACUAAGGUGGCACAAAGAAGAAACCCAGACAGGGCCUCACUUUGUUGCCCAGGCUGAAGAACAGUGGCUCAAUCACGGCUGACUGCAGCUUCAACCUCCCUGGUUCAGGGACGAAACGUCUCCGUAUGUUGCCCAGGCUGGUCUUCAACUCUACAGGUGGUACAUUCAAUACCAAGUUGAGAACACCCUCUCAAACUGAGAUGAGAAACAGACUCAAAGAGGUUAGGAAAUUCACCCAAGGUCACAGAGAUAGACAAGGAAAAAGGGUAAGACUCAGGAGUGUUUGUUUCUGUUGCUUUGAUCUUACCACUAAAUUUUACUGCCAGUGUUUAAUCAAACACAUGAAAAACUACAUUCAGAUCCUAUGCCUAUGUAGGCAUAGGCAUACUUCGAAGAUAUUGUGGGUUUGUUUCCAGACCAUGGCAAUGAAGUUAAUAUUGCAAUAAAGCAAGUCACAAAUUUUUGGUUUCCC